rnacentral:rRNA from 1 species
UUAGUAACUGCGAGUGAAGUGGGAAAAGCUCAAAUUUGAAAUCUGGCGGUUCUUUACCGUCCGAGUUGUAAUCUAGAGAAGUGCUACCUGUGCUGGACCGUGUACAAGUCUCCUGGAAUGGAGCAUCACAGAGGGUGAGAAUCCCGUCUUUGACACGGACUGCCUGUGCGGUUAUGGUGUGCUCUCAAAGAGUCGAGUUGUUUGGGAAUGCAGCUCAAAAUGGGUGGUAAAUGCCAUCUAAAGCUAAAUAUUGGCGAGAGACCGAUAGCGAACAAGUACCGUGAGGGAAAGAUGAAAAGAACUUUGGAAAGAGAGUUAAACAGUACGUGAAAUUGCUGAAAGGGAAACGCUUGAAGUCAGUCACGUUGGCCUAGAAAUCAACCUUGCUUUUGCUUGGUGUACUUUCUGGUCGAUGGGUCAGCAUCAAUUUUGACCACUGGAUAAAGUCUUUGGGAAUGUGGCAUCUUUUGGAUGUGUUAUAGCCCAUUGUCGCAUACAAGUGGUUGGGAUUGAGGAACUCAGCACGCUUGCAAAGGCCGGGUUUCGACCACGUUCGUGCUUAGGAUGCUGGCAUAAUGGCUUUAAUCGACCCGUCUUGAAACACGGACCAAGGAGUCUAACAUGCAUGCGAGUGUUUGGGUGGAAAACCCAUGCGCGUAAUGAAAGUGAAAGUUGAGAUCCCCUCUCAGGGAGGAGCAUUGACGCCCGGACCAGACCUUUUGUGAAGGAUCCGCGGUAGAGCAUGUGUGUUGGGACCCGAAAGAUGGUGAACUAUGCCUGAAUAGGGUGAAGCCAGAGGAAACUCUGGUGGAGGCUCGUAGCGAUUCUGACGUGC